AGCGCAGCUACCAUGCAGUCGAGCGGAACGAGUUAACUGAACCUUCGGGGGACGUUAACGGCGUCGAGCGGCGGACGGGUGAGUAAUGCCUGGGAAAUUGCCCUGAUGUGGGGGAUAACCAUUGGAAACGAUGGCUAAUACCGCAUAAUAGCUUCGGCUCAAAGAGGGGGACCUUCGGGCCUCUCGCGUCAGGAUAUGCCCAGGUGGGAUUAGCUAGUUGGUGAGGUAAUGGCUCACCAAGGCGACGAUCCCUAACUGGUCUGAGAGGAUGAUCAGCCACACUGGAACUGAGACACGGUCCAGACUCCUACGGGAGGCAGCAGUGGGGAAUAUUGCACAAUGGGCGCAAGCCUGAUGCAGCCAUGCCGCGUGUGUGAAGAAGGCCUUCGGGUUGUAAAGCACUUUCAGCCGUGAGGAAGGUGGUGUAGUUAAUAGCUGCAUCAUUGUGACCCUUGAGCUGCAGAAGAAGCACUUCGGAGCUAACGCCGUGACAGCAGACCGCCUGGUAGAGUACGGAGGGUCGCAAGAGUUAAAACUCAAAUGAAUUGACGGGGGCCCGCACAAGCGCAUGCAGCAUGUGGUUUAAUUAGAUGUCAGACGCGAAGAACCUUACCGAGCUCAUGACAUCCAGAGAACUUAGCAUUUGAAAUGCUUUGGCUGACUACGAGAACUCUGAGACAGGUGCUGCAUGGCUAGAAUCGUCAGCUCGUAGCGGUGAAAUGCGUAGAGAUCUGAAGGAAUACCGGUCGCGAACGAGCGCAACCCUUAUCCUUGUUUGACAGCACUACGGGUGGGACACUCCAGAUGCGAAGACGUGCCGGUGAGCAAACCGGAGGAUAGAUGGGGACGACUGUCAAGUCAUCACGGCCCUAACGAUGUCUACUGAGUGCUGACACACGUGCUACGAACUACGCGCAGUAACAGACUGGGCAGUACCAACUUGCGAAAGUGAGCGAAUCCCAAAAAGUGCGUCGUAGUCCGGAUUGGAGUCUGCAACUCGACUCCAUGAAGUCGGAAUCGCUAGUAAUCGUGGAUCAGAAUGCCACGGUGAAUACGUUCCCGGGCCUUGUACACACCGCCCGUCACACCAUGGGAGUGGGCUGCAAAAGAAGUGGGUAGUUUAACCUUCGGAGGACGCUCACCACCUUGGUGGGGGG
rnacentral:rRNA from 1 species